rnacentral:rRNA from 1 species
GACGUAGGGGGCCAGCGUUGCUCGGAAUUACUGGGCGUAAAGGGUCCGUAGGCGGUGCGGUAAGUCGGGAGUGAAACCUCUGGGCUUAACUCAGAGGCUGCUUCCGAAACUGCCGUGCUAGAGUGCGAGAGAGGCAAGUGGAAUUGCGGGUGUAGCGGUGAAAUGCGUAGAUAUCCGCAGGAACAUCCGAGGCGAAAGCGGCUUGCUGGAUCGCAACUGACGCUGAGGGACGAAAGCUAGGGGAGCAAACAGG